UUAAGAAUCAAUCACAGGAACCUACACCUGGUAACUGGGGCGCAGACCUCUUCAAGAAGGUAACAUCAAGUAAAUAAGUCAAGCAAAGGACUUCCUGCCAGUCUCUUCUGUGAGGCAUCAUAGACACUGAACAACCAGGACCACCCCAUGUUCAGAAAUCAGCUGGCCAAGUGACUCCAUUUGACUUGCAAAUCAGCCUUUUCUAAUAGGCUGAUAUUGCUGAGGCCUUAAUGGAAAUGGACAAAAAUUCUUUAGAAGGGGGGUACUUUUCCAUUGUAUGUUUCUAAUAAAGAUUGAAAAUUGUACUAUUA